GAACACGGAGCUUGCUCUGGGGGAUCAGUGGCGAACGGGUGAGUAACACGUGAGCAACCUGCCCCUGACUCUGGGAUAAGCGCUGGAAACGGCGUCUAAUACUGGAUAUGUGACGUGACCGCAUGGUCUGCGUUUGGAAAGAUUUUUCGGUUGGGGAUGGGCUCGCGGCCUAUCAUGUUGUUGGUGAGGUAAUGGCUCACCAAGGCGUCGACGGGUAGCCGGCCUGAGAGGGUGACCGGCCACACUGGGACUGAGACACGGCCCAUACUCCUACGGGAGGCAGCAGGGGGGAAUAUUGCACAAUGGGCGAAAGCCUGAUGCAGCAACGCCGCGUGAGGGAUGACGGCCUUCGGGUUGUAAACCUCUUUUAGCAGGGAAGAAACGAAAGUGACGGUACCUGCAGAAGAAGCGCCGGCUAACUACGUGCCAGCAGCCGCGGUAAUACGUAGGGCGCAAGCGUUAUCCGGAAUUAUUGGGCGUAAAGAGCUCGUAGGCGGUUUGUCGCGUCUGCUGUGAAAUCCCGAGGCUCAACCUCGGGCCUGCAGUGGGUACGGGCAGACUAGAGUGCGGUAGGGGAGAUUGGAAUUCCUGGUGUAGCGGUGGAAUGCGCAAAUAUCAGGAGGAACACCGAUGGCGAAGGCAGAUCUCUGGGCCGUAACUGACGCUGAGGAGCGAAAGGGUGAGGAGCAAACAGGCUUACAUACCCUGGUAGUCCACCCCGUAAACGUUGGCAACUAGUUGUGGGGUCCAUUCCACGGAUUCCGUGACGCAGCUAACGCAUUAAGUUCCCCGCCUGGGGAGUACGGCCGCAAGGUUAAAACUCAAAGGAAUUGACGGGGACCCGCACAAGCGGCGGAUCAUGCGGAUUAUUUCGAUGCAACGCGAAUAUCCUUACCAAGGCUUGACAUAUACGACACCGUGCCAGAAAUGGUCUCUCUUUGGACACUCGUAAACAGGUGGUGCAUGGUUGUCGUCAGCUCGUGUCGUGAGAUGUUGGGUUAAGUCCCGCAACGAGCGACACCUCUUCUUUCUAUGUUGCCCAGCACGUAAUCGGUGGGAACUUCAUGGCAUA
rnacentral:rRNA from 1 species